CGAGUGCAGAUAACCAUUACCGAGGUCUCUCCUUCCUCUUCCACACCAUCUGUUGCCGAAAAACACCCACUUUUGUUUCCACAAAACAAAAAACUAUAAAAACAAAACAAACCGGUUCUAGGGUUUGUUUUCUCAACACAAAACACACUCCCAAAACCCUAGUUUCCCACACUUCACAUUGACGAUCGAGCCUGUCGUCGUUCUUCUUCUCUGUGAUUCGGAGGUCAGUUCUCGCAGAUCUCUCUGAAAAUCGCAAUUAAUCUCUCCGUUCAGUUCAAUUCGUGGAAAAAGAUUUGAACUUUUGUUUUUUCCGAGAUUCUAUGGGCGAGAAAGUGUGAGAAAAUAGGGGCAAAUCGUUUCGAACUAUGGAGGAUCUCGAAAAGGCGAUUCUGAUAAGCUUUGAUGAAUCCGGGAGAGUUGAAUCGGCGCUGAAACUGCAAGCAGUGGGGUUUAUUGAUAAGAUAAAGGAGUCGCCUUUGAUAUGUAGUAUAUGCGUUGAGCGCUUGUGUUUUUCGAAGCUCGUUCAGGUGCAGUUCUGGUGCUUGCAGUGUUUACAUGAUGUGAUUCGUGUGCGCUACUCUUCGAUGAGUUUGGACGAGAAGGGUUUUGUGAGGAAAUCCGUGUUUUCCAUGGCGUGUUUCGAGCGUUUAGAGGGUGUGGAUGAUGAGAGCUCUGUUAGGGUUUUAGAAGGUCCGCCAUUCAUAAAGAAUAAGCUUGCUCAAGUUUUAGUAACUUUGAUUUAUUUUGAAUAUCCAUUGAUUUGGUCUUCGGUUUUUGUUGAUUAUCUUCCUCAUUUGGGUAAAGGCGCCCCAGUGAUCGACAUGUUUUGUCGGAUUUUGAAUGCCUUAGACGAUGAAUUGAUUAGUUUGGACUACACUCGAACUCAGGAUGAACUUGUGGUUGCAACGCGGGUAAAGGAUGCCAUGAGGCAACAAUGUGUGGCUCAGAUAGUGAGAGCUUGGUACAACAUUGUAUCUUUGUACAGAAAUUCUGAUCCGGAUCUCUGUUCUAGUGUGUUGGACUCAAUGAGAAGAUAUAUUUCUUGGAUUGAUAUUGGGUUAAUUGUGAAUGAUGCCUUUAUCCCAUUAUUGUUUGAGUUGAUUUUGGUCAAGGGAUUACCGGAACAACUUCGAGGUUCUGCUGCUGGGUGUGUUUUGGCGGUAGUCUCUAAGCGGAUGGAUCUGCAAGCCAAGCUCUCACUUUUGCAGAACCUUAAGAUUAGUCGGGUUUUUGGGUUGGUGGCCGAGGAUAGUGAUUCUGAAUUGGCUUCAAAAAUAGCCUCAUUACUCACUGGGUAUGCCACAGAACUUCUAGAAUGUUCCAAGAAGUUGAAUUCUGAGGAUCUUAAGCAGACCUCAAUGGAGCUUUUGGAUGAAGUUUUACCAUCAGUUUUUUUUGUAACACAGAACUGUGAGGUUGACAAUGCAUUCAGUAUCGUUCAGUUUCUUUUGGGUUUUGUGGCCACUAUGAAGAGCCUUUCACCUCUGACGGAGAAACAGCUGCUUCAUGUGGGCCAGAUAUUGGAAGUAAUACGCACACAGAUUUGCUAUGAUCCUAUUUAUCGUAAUAAUCUUGAUGUGUUUGAUAAAAUUGGGAGAGAAGAGGAAGGUAGGAUGGUGGAGUUUCGGAAGGAUUUCUUUGUGUUACUCCGUAGUGUUGGUCGUGUGGCACCGGAUGUCACACAGAUGUUCAUCAGAAAUUCGUUAGGGAAUGCUGUUGCAUCUUCAUCUGAUAGAAAUGUAGAAGAGGUAGAAGCUGCACUUUCCCUUUUCUAUGCUUUUGGAGAAUCAAUAAAUGAUGAGGUGAUGAAAGUUGGAAAUGGACCCCUGGGGCAAUUGGUGCUGAUGCUUUUAUCAACAACCUUUGCUUGCCAUUCCAAUAGGCUGGUUGCACUUGUGUAUUUGGAGACAGUAACAAGAUAUAUGAAGUUUGUUCAGGUGAACGACCAAUAUCUACAUUUGGUUCUUGCUGCCUUUCUUGAUGAAAGAGGUAUACACCAUCCAAACAUCAAUGUGAGUCGAAGGGCAAGUUAUCUUUUUAUGAGGGUUGUGAAAUCACUGAAAGCAAAGCUUGUCCCUUUCAUAGAAAAUAUUUUGCAGAAUCUGCAGGAUACAGUUGCUCAAUUUACGAGAAUGAACAGCAUGUCAAAAGAGCUUUCUGGAUCCGAGGACGGUAGUCACAUUUUUGAGGCUAUUGGCUUAUUAAUUGGAAUGGAAGAUGUACCACCAGAGAAGCAAUCCGAGUACCUAUCUUCAUUGCUAACUCCUCUUUGUCAACAGGUUAAGGUUGAGGUAUUGCUCAUAAAUGCCAAAGUACAGAAUGCAGAGGACCCUGUUGCAAAAAUUGCAAACAUCCAGCAAAUAAUCAUGGCAAUUAAUGCUUUAAGCAAGGGCUUCAGUGAGCGUCUUGUAACUGCUAGUCGCCCUGCUAUUGGUCUCAUGUUUAAGCAGACAUUGGAUGUCCUUCUCCAAAUUCUUGUUGUAUUUCCAAAAAUAGAGCCUCUGCGGACUAAGGUUACAUCAUUUAUUCACCGAAUGGUGGACACAUUAGGAGCAUCUGUAUUUCCUUACCUCCCUAAGGCAUUGGAACAAUUGCUCGCAGAAAGUGAGCCAAGAGAGUUGGUGGGUUUCCUUGUAUUAAUCAAUCAGCUCAUAUGCAAAUUCAACACCUUGGUCCGUGACAUAUUGGAGGAAAUAUAUCCUGCUGUUGCUGGUAGGAUAUUUAAUAUUCUCCCAAGGGAUCCAUUUCCAUCAGGACCUGGGAGCAGUACUGAGGAAAUCCGUGAGUUGCAAGAACUUCAGCGGACAUUGUACACAUUUCUCCAUGUGAUAGCGACACAUGAUCUGUCUUCAGUUUUCCUUUCCCCAAGAAGCAGGGGCUACUUGGAUCCAAUGAUGCAGUUGCUAUUGCGCACCGCUUGUGGUCACAAGGAUACUCUUGUAAGAAAGGCCUGCGUACAGAUCUUUAUUAGGCUAAUUAAAGAUUGGUGCACUAGAUCUUAUGGUGAAGAAAUGGUACCUGGUUUCCAGAGUUUCAUAAUUGAGGUCUUUGCAACAAACUGUUGUUUGUACAGUGUGCUUGACAGAUCCUUCGAGUUUCGUGAUGCUAAUACUCUUGUUUUGUUUGGAGAAAUAGUACUGGCUCAGAAGAUUAUGUAUGAGAAAUUUGGUAACGAGUUUCUCAUUCAUUUUGUUUCAAAAGGUUUCCCUGCUGCACAUUGCCCUCAAGAUUUGGCUGAGGAAUAUUGUCAAAAAUUGCAGGGUAGUGAUAUAAAGGCUUUGAAAUCUUUCUACCAGUCACUCAUUGAAAGUUUGAGACACCAACAGAAUGGAAGCCUUGUUUUCAGAUAGCAUUUUCCUGAUAUGCUAAUCUGAUUAUGCUGCUAAAUGCUUCUUGUUCUAUCCUAUUGUCCUCGGUUGUUGGACUUCAUUUUUGUUGUCAAAGGGUUCUUUUCUUUCUGUAUAUAACAUUUGUGUGGCUACCCCCUGAAUAGUGAGGUGUAAAUUUCCGGAAUCAGUUUCUUUGAAUAUAAAAAAGUUGGCGAUAUCCAUUGGUUUCGAGGUGCUGAGAUUUAGUUCAAGUUUCCAGUACGAGUGGUUGUCUAUAUAACCUUAUUGCCCCCCAAAGUUUUGUGCUUCUUGUCUUAUCAUUUUGUUUCAUCUCUCUAAAUUCAAACAAUUUUCUAGCCUUCUAAACGAGUGGUGGAUUAUUGUUCAUGUGGUCUGUACGUGGAGAGGCGGGGGUACGGUUUAUUCUUUUUUAUUAUGCCAAAAAAGGGGAAAUCAAUGAGCCACUGUUUGCCAAAUCACCUGUAAGAAAAAGUUUGGGCAUGGAUUUUCCCAUAGAAAUGAGUUCUCCUUUUACAUGGCAUUCAAAGUGAAGAUUUCAGUUUUUUCAUAUCAAUGAUCCAUAUCACAUGUAAUUCUUUCAA